rnacentral:rRNA from 1 species
GAGUUUGAUCAUGGCUCAGAACGAACGCUGGCGGCGUGCCUAACACAUGCAAGUCGCACGAGAAACACAUCCUUCGGGGUGUGGAGUAAAGUGGCGCACGGGUGAGUAACACGUGGGUAACCUGCCCUUGGAACCGGGAUAACUGGCCGAAAGGCCCGCUAAUACCGGAUAAGACCACAUGAGCUUCGGCUUAUGCGGCCAAAGUCGGCCUCUCGAAGAAGCUGGCGUCUGAGGAUGGGCCCGCGGACCAUUAGCUAGUUGGUGGAGUAACGGUUCACCAAGGCUGAGAUGGUUAGCUGGUCUGAGAGGAUGAUCAGCCACACUGGAACUGAGAUACGGUCCAGACUCCUACGGGAGGCAGCAGUGAGGAAUAUUGCGCAAUGGAGGAAACUCUGACGCAGCAACGCCGCGUGGGUGAAGAAGGCUUUCGGGUUGUAAAGCCCUGUCAGGUGGGAAGAAACCUCCUUGGGUAAAUAGCUCAAGGAACUGACGGUACCACCAAAGGAAGCACCGGCUAACUCCGUGCCAGCAGCCGCGGUAAGACGGAGGGUGCGAGCGUUGUUCGGAAUCACUGGGCGUAAAGCGCGUGUAGGGCGGGUUUCGAUU